GGUUCGAUUCUGGCUCAGAUUGAACGCUGGCGGGAUGCUUUACACAUGCAAGUCGAACGGCAGCACGGACUUCCAGUCUGUUCUUGAGUGGCGAACGGGUGAGUAAUGUAUCGGAACGUGCCUAGUAGCGGGGGAUAACUACCGCAAGCGUAGCUAAUACCGCAUACGCCCUUCCAGGAAAGCGGGGGACCUUCCCGGGCCUCGCACUAUUAGAAACGGCCGAUAUCGGAUUGGCUGGUUGGUCGGAGUAACGGCUCACCAAGGCGACGAUCCGUAGCUGGUUUGAGAGGACGACCAGCCACACUGGGACUGAGACACGGCCCAGACUCUACGGGGAGGCAGCAGUGCGAAGAUUUUGGACAAUGGAAGCAGUCAGCAUCCGCAUUGCGAUGAGGCCUUCGUUUGUAAGAAGCUGGCGGGAAAGAAGCGGCACGGGAUAUUGCAACUGACGAAACCUGCAGAAUAAGCACCGGCUUAACUACGUGCCAGCAGCCGCGGUAAUACGUAGAGUGCAAGCGUUAAUCAGAUUACUGGGCGUAAAAGCGUGCGCAGGCGGUUUGGAAAGAAAAGAUGUGAAAUCCCAAGAGCUUAACUUUAGUUCACAUUUUUAACUACCGAGCUAGAGUGUGUCCAGAGGGAGUGGAAUUCCGCAUUAGCAGUGAAAUGCGUAGAUAUGCGGAGGAACACCGAUGGCGAAGGCAGCACCUCCUGGGAUAACACUGACGCUCAUGCACGAAAGCGUGGGAGCAAACGGGAUUAGAUACCCUGAAGCAGCCCGCCCUAAACGAUGUCAACUAUGUGUUGGGGCCUGAGACAUGGUAGCGCAACUAACGCGUGAAGUUGGCUACCACAGGGAAUACAGUGCCAAGAUUAAAACUCAAAGGAAUUGACGGGGACCCUUGUGGUGGAUAGUAUGGAUAAUUCGAUGCAACGCGAAAAACCUUACCUACCCUUGACAUGUCUGGAAUCCGAAGAGAUUUGGGAGUGCUCGCAAGAGAACCGGAACACAGGUGCUGCAUGGCUGUCGUCAGCUCUCGUGUCGUGAGAUGUUGGGUUAAGUCCGCAGCGAGCGCGGCCCUUGUCAUUAGUUGCUACGAAAGGAGCCUCUAAUGAGACUGCCGGUGACAAACCGGAGGAAGGUGGGGAUGACGUCAAGUCCUCAUGGCCCUUAUGGGUAGGGCUUCCACACGUCAUACAAUGAACCGGGACAGAGGGUCGCCAACCCGCGAGGGGGUAAUCCAGAAACCCGAUCGUAGUCCAGGAUCGCAGUCUGCAACUCGACUGCGUGAAGUCGGAAUCGCUAGUAAUCGCGGAUCAGCAUGUCGCGGUGAAUACGUUCCAGGUCUUGUACACGCCCGUCACACCAUGGGAGUGGGUUUUACCAGAAGUAGUUAGCCUAACCGUAAGGAGGGCGGGAUUACCACAGUAGGAUUCGCAUGACUGGGGUGAAGUCAGCAACAAGGUAA
rnacentral:rRNA from 1 species